GAACGUACGCUGGCGGCACGCCUAACACAUGCAAGUCGAACGAAGUAGCAAUACUUAGUGGCAGACGGGUGAGUAACAUGUAGGUAUCUGCCCUUUGGCCUGGAAUAACACGAGGAAACUUGUGCUAAUACCGGAUAAGUCUUUACAGAGAAAGCUUUAUGCACCAUUGGAUGAGCCUGCACUUGAUUAGUUUGUUGGUGGGGUAAUGGCCUACCAAGACUGUGAUCAAUAGCUGAUUUGAGAGGAUGAUCAGCCACAUUGGGACUGAGACACGGCCCAAACUCCUACGGGAGGCAGCAGUGGGGAAUCUUGCACAAUGGAGGAAACUCUGAUGCAGCGAUGCCGCGUGAGUGAAGAAGGCCUUUGGGUUGUAAAGCUCUUUCGUCGGGGAAGAAAAUGACUGUACCCGAAUAAGAAGGUCCGGCUAACUUCGUGCCAGCAGCCGCGGUAAUACGAAGGGACCUAGCGUAGUUCGGAAUUACUGGGCUUAAAGAGUUCGUAGGUGGUUGAAAAAGUUAGUGGUGAAAUCCCAGAGCUUAACUCUGGGAACUGCCAUUAAAACUUUUCAGCUAGAGUAUGAUAGAGGAAAGCAGAAUUUCUAGUGUAGAGGUGAAAUUCGUAGAUAUUAGAAAGAAUACCAAUUGCGAAGGCAGCUUUCUGGAUCAUUACUGACACUGAGGAACGAAAGCAUGGGUAGCGAAGAGGAUUAGAUACCCUCGUAGUCCAUGCCGUAAACGAUGUGUGUUAGACGUUGGAAAUUUAUUUUCAGUGUCGCAGCGAAAGCGAUAAACACACCGCCUGGGGAGUACGACCGCAAGGUUAAAACUCAAAUGAAUUGACGGGGACCCGCACAAGUAGUGGAGCAUGUGGUUUAAUUCGAAGAUACGCGCAGAACCUUACCAACACUUGACAUGUUCGUCGCGACUCUAAGAGAUUAGAGUUUUCGGUUCGGCCGGACGAAACACAGGUGCUGCAUGGCUGUCGUCAGCUCGUGUCGUGAGAUGUUGGGUUAAGUCCCGCAACGAGCGCAACCCUCACUUUUAGUUGCCAUCAUUAAGUUGGGCACUCUGAAAGAACUGCCAGUGAUAAGCUGGAGGAAGGUGGGGAUGACGUCAAGUCCUCAUGGCCCUUACGUGUUGGGCUACACACGUGCUACAAUGGUAUCUACAACAGGAAGCAAGACUGCGAAGUUAAGCAAAUCCCUAAAAGAUACCUCAGUUCGGAUUGCACUCUGCAACUCGAGUGCAUGAAGCUGGAAUUACUAGUAAUCGUGGAUCAGCGUGCCACGGUGAAUGCGUUCCCGGGUCUUGUACACACCG
rnacentral:rRNA from 1 species